GACCUGAGUCCUCCAAGUCCUCCGGCACCUUGAGCUCCAGAGAGCAGAAUUCAGCCUCUUCCUGUGCCUCCCCAGGGCGGGCAUACGAGCCAGCCCCAUCCCAUUCAUCACCCGUAUGCCUGUGUGCCCAUCCCCCUUGCAGGUUCCCCAAGGACUCUAGCACCUGGACUGUGGACCACCAGCUCCUGUGGGGGGAGGCCCUGCUCAUCACCCCAGUGCUCCAGGCCGGGAAGGCCGAAGUGACUGGCUACUUCCCCUUGGGCACAUGGUACGACCUGCAGACGGUGCCAAUAGAGGCCCUUGGCAGCCUCCCACCCCCACCUGCAGCUCCCCGUGAGCCAGCCAUCCACAGCGAGGGGCAGUGGGUGACGCUGCCGGCCCCCCUGGACACCAUCAACGUCCACCUCCGGGCUGGGUACAUCAUCCCCCUGCAGGGCCCUGGCCUCACAACCACAGAGUCCCGCCAGCAGCCCAUGGCCCUGGCUGUGGCCCUGACCACGGGUGGGGAGGCCCGAGGGGAGCUGUUUUGGGAUGAUGGAGAGAGCCUGGAAGUGCUGGAGCGAGGGGCCCACACACAGGUCAUCUUCCUGGCCAGGAACAACACGAUCGUGAAUGAGCUGGUACGUGUGACCAGUGAGGGAGCUGGCCUGCAGCUGCAGAAGGUGACUGUCCUGGGCGUGGCCACGGCGCCCCAGCAGGUCCUCUCCAACGGCGUCCCUGUCUCCAACUUCACCUACAGCCCUGACACCAAGGUCC
rnacentral:sRNA from 1 species